rnacentral:misc_RNA from 1 species
CCAAACAAAAACCAAAACAUGGGUUAAGAGGAAGUGACGAGAUAACGCAAGUUUUCAAGUCGCUUCCUUUUUUCCCUACUCUAGCAACCUCUGUCUUGUACGGAGAUUUGCAUACAAUUGUUGAAGGCUUUUUCAACCAUAACCAAACCACUAUAACUUUUUUCUAAUCUUUUUUCCUCUUGUAAAAGAGAAAAAAAACAAACAAAAAACCAAAGA